UACGUAGGGGGCAAGCGUUGUCCGGAUUUAUUGGGCGUAAAGAGCUCGUAGGUGGUUCGGUAAGUCCGCUGUGAAAGUCGGGGGCUCAACCCUCGGAUGCCGGUGGAUACUGUCGGGCUUGAGUACGGAAGAGGCGAGUGGAAUUCCCGGUGUAGCGGUGAAAUGCGCAGAUAUCGGGAGGAACACCAAUGGCGAAGGCAGCUCGCUGGGACGUGACUGACGCUGAGACGCGAAAGCGUGGGGAGCAAACAGG
rnacentral:rRNA from 1 species